UACAGAGGGGGCAAGCGUUAUUCGGAAUUAUUGGGCGUAAAGGGCGCGUAGGCGGCAUGGCAAGUGGAUGGUGAAAUCCCUCGGCUUAACCGAGGAACUGCCGUCCAAACUGCUUCGCUUGAGACCGGGAGAGGUGAGUGGAAUUCCCAGUAUAGCGGUGAAAUGCGUAGAUAUUGGGAGGAACACCAGUGGCGAAGGCGGCUCACUGGACCGGUACUGACGCUGAAGCGCGAAAGCGUGGGGAGCAAACGGG
rnacentral:rRNA from 1 species